rnacentral:lncRNA from 1 species
GGGCCCUUCAAGUGCAUCACCAAAAAAAACCAUCCCAGAAGGGGACAUUGGCUGCUGUCUUCUGACCCACCCUGUGUGGCUUUGGCGUCUCCUGUGACCUCCCAGUAUGGGUCUUGGCCUCAUCCUGCCUCUUUGUCUUUCUGGCCCACCACCCACAGCUUGAAUCUCAGGCUCCAACAGUUGCCUGACCCCCAGAUUCUGAUGACAGCCUACCUACUUGUUCUUCAGGCCCUCACCAGACUCACUGCCCAGACACACCACACAGGA